ACUGAACGCUGGCGGCGUGCCUAACACAUGCAAGUCGAGCGGCAGCGCGGGAGCAAUCCUGGCGGCGAGCGGCGGACGGGUGAGUAACGCUUGGGAAUCUGCCUAUUAGUGGGGGACAACCCGGGGAAACUCGGGCUAAUACCGCAUACGCACUACGGUGGAAAGCCGGGGACCGCAAGGCCUGGCGCUAACAGAUGAGCCCAAGUCGGGUUAGCUAGUUGGUAGGGUAACGGCCUACCAAGGCGACGAUCCGUAACUGGUCUGAGAGGACGACCAGUCACACCGGAACUGAGACACGGUCCGGACCCCUACGGGAGGCAGCAGUGGGGAAGUAUUGGACAAUGGGGGAAACCCGUGAUCCAGCGACGCCGCGUGGGUGAAGAAGGCCUGC
rnacentral:rRNA from 1 species